rnacentral:RNase_P_RNA from 1 species
GCGGAUGGUCGGAUGACCGCGGGGGUGCAAACCUUCGAGGAAAGUCCGGGCUCCAUGAAGCGACGGUGCCGGGUAACGCCCGGCCGGGGCAACCCGAGGGACAGCGCCACAGAAAACAGACCGCCCUGCCGAUUCGGCAUGGCCGACGCGGCCGGGUAAGGGUGAAACGGUGGGGUAAGAGCCCACCGCGGGACGGGCAACCGGACCGGCAUGGCAAGCCCCACCGGGAGCAAUGCCGAAUAGGGACGUCACGCGGGUCCGGUCCCUUCGGGGAUACCGCCGCAGGGCCGCUUCAGCCCGAUGUCCGGGUUGGCAGCUUGACCCCCGCGCGCAAGUACGGGGGCAGAUGAAUGGUCAUCCAGGGGGGUGCGCCCCCCGGACAAAACCCGGCUUACAGACCGUCCGCAUCU